ensembl:lncRNA
AUUACAGUAUACUCUUUAAUUAGCAAGAGGCUUGUGACAGGCAAAACAAAAGGUAACACCAUCUUCUCAUCUACUGUAUGACGACGCACGCUGCACUGUCAGCUGUGCUUCCUCUCAAUGAUUUAUUCGAUGUUUUACAGGCUGAAUGUACACACAGUGUGCUGUUGCAUCUCUCUGACUGGACUGAGGGGUCAGCAGCCUAAGCAAGAAUGACCAGACCUCCCUCUCCCCAGCAACCUCCUCCAUCUUAUCCGGGGGAAGACCGAUGCAUUCCAAGGCCAGCCGAGAGAUAUAAUGUCUUCAGCCGAUCUGCCCAGGGCCAUCCUACAUCAUACAUCUGGAUGAAUGGAUGGAAAGCUCCAGGGAAAAGCUAUGAUUCUGACAAGUAUUGUC